UUAAUAAAUUUUGUAUAUCUCACCCCCCCCGUUUUUUCUAUUCAUAGCGGAGGAAAAGAAACCAACAGGGAUUGCCCUAGUAACGGCGAGUGAAGCGGCAACAGCUCAAAUUUGAAAUCUGGCGUCUUUGGCGUCCGAGUUGUAAUUUGCAGAGGGCGCUUUGGCAUUGGCAGCGGUCCAAGUUCCUUGGAACAGGACGUCACAGAGGGUGAGAAUCCCGUACGUGGUCGCUAGCCUUUACCGUGUAAAGCCCCUUCGACGAGUCGAGUUGUUUGGGAAUGCAGCUCUAAAUGGGAGGUAAAUUUCUUCUAAAGCUAAAUACUGGCCAGAGACCGAUAGCGCACAAGUAGAGUGAUCGAAAGAUGAAAAGCACUUUGGAAAGAGAGUUAAAAAGCACGUGAAAUUGUUGAAAGGGAAGCGCUUGCAGCCAGACUUGCCUGUAGUUGCUCAUCCGGGUUUCUACCCGGUGCACUCUUCUACGGGCAGGCCAGCAUCAGUUUGGGCGGUUGGAUAAAGGUCUCUGUCAUGUACCUCCUCUCGGGGAGAUCUUAUAGGGGAGACGACAUGCAACCAGCCUGGACUGAGGUCCGCGCAUCUGCUAGGAUGCUGGCGUAAUGGCUGUAAGCGGCCCGUCUUGAAACACGGACCAAGGAGUCUAACAUCUAUGCGAGUGUUUGGGUGUCAAGCCCGAGCGCGUAAUGAAAGUGAACGGAGGUGGGAACCUUUCGGGGUGCACCAUCGACCGAUCCUGAUGUCUUCGGAUGGAUUUGAGUAAGAGCAUAGCUGUUGGGACCCGAAAGAUGGUGAACUAUGCUUGAAUAGGGUGAAGCCAGAGGAAACUCUGGUGGAGGCUCGCAGCGGUUCUGACGUGCAAAUCGAUCGUCAAAUUUGGGCAUAGGGGCGAAAGACUAAUCGAACUAUCUAGUAGCUGGUUCCUGCCGAUCCCCCCCCCCGCAGAUAUAAACCCCUUUCCGUACCCU
rnacentral:rRNA from 1 species